CUCCAGGGCUUUGUUGCUGCUGAAGCUGUUGAAAUCUUGUUGGUGAGCCAUGCUUUGGUGUAACUGGAACAAAGGGUCCCUCCAGGCCAUCAGCAAUUUCAGAAUCACCUCCGUCAACUCUUCACGCUAAGACACGAGAGAUCAUUGGAGAGGCUGUGCAUUCUGGCCGAGUGCUGUAUGACCCUGUCGAAGAGAUCUGCCAGAGACGGGACGUGACAUCCUGUUGGCCCAUGCAUGCAGAUGGGUGCGGAGAAGCCCCCGUGCCCGUGAGGAUCCAGGCAUAGCAGUGCCACAAGCAGUGCGGCCACUGCCGUGAAUCACAAACCCGGAGAGAAAAAGAUGGAAGAGAAGAAGGCUCCUGGUCAUUCUGAGAGGAAAAGAGAGGUUAUGGUAAAAGCAGGGGGUCGGUUUGCUAUUUAAAGUGUCCUGAGUUUAAGGCAAGAGGGGGUCGAGAGGUGCUGUUGGAUGAAUCUGCCCAUUAAAGUGAAAGAUGGCAAGAAAGGGGCGGGCUUGAAAGGCUUCCCGCUUCGGUUUUGCGUUAUACAUCCAACCCUCAGCAUCUCUGUCAUUUUGCCCAUCAGAAAACGUGGGUGGCAGGCACUCUUGCCCUUCUGGCGUCCAGUGUCACCUGAACUAUAUGAGUUAUUCUUAAAACAGAUGAUAUGAGAAAUAAACGGUUUUGAUAAGAGA